CCCAAAGGAAGCCAAAUCGAUGGUUGGCAGUGACCACCGGCGUCGGAAAAUCAAAGGAAAAGAGGGUCGGAACAAUCCGAAACAGGGGACAACCUUUUUCAAAAGAAAUCUGAUGAUUGUUGGUCGGAGGUGCGGCUCAUGGUGGCAAGAUCAUAGAUCUCCGAUCCGAUGAUCAACAACGAUGGACGACGUCGAAAUCAAAUCAAACAUAGGGAGAGA
rnacentral:lncRNA from 1 species